GGGGGAUUUAGGGCGCUGUGGGGCGCUAUGGGGUGGAUAUGGGGCACUGUGGGGGCGAUGUAGGGCACUAUGGGGGGGAUAUAGGGCGCUGUGGGGGGGAUAUAGGGCGCUGUGGGGUGGAUAUGGGGCGCUGUGGGGGGGAUAUAGGGCGCUGUGAUGUGGAUUUAGGGCGCUAUGCAGUGGAUAUAGGGCGCUAUGGGGCACUGUGGGAUGGAUAUGGGGCGCUAUGGGGUGGAUAUAGGGCGCUGUGGGGGGAUUUAGGGCGCUGUGGGGCGCUAUGGGGUGGAUAUAGGGCGCUGUGGGGGGAUUUAGGGCGCUGUGGGGCGCUAUGGGGUGGAUAUGGGGCUCUGUGGGGGCGAUGUAGGGCACUAUGGGGGGGAUAUAGGGUGCUGUGGGGGGGAUAUAGGGCGCUAUGGGGCACUGUGCGAUGGAUAUGGGGCACUAUGGGGUGGAUAUGGGGCGCUAUGGGGCACUAUGGGGUGGAUAUGGGGUGCUAUGGGUCUCUAUGGGACACAAUGAUGCUCUAUGGGUCUCUAUGGGUCUCUAUGGGUCCCUAUGUGUCUCUAUGGGUCCCUAUGAUGCUCUAUGUGUCUCUAUGGGUCCCUAUGGGUCUCUAUGGGUCCCUAUGGGUCUCUAUGGGUCUCUAUGUGUCUCUAUGGGUCCCUAUGUGUCUCUAUGUGUCCCUAUGGGCCUCCAUGUGUCUCUAUGGGUCCCUAUGUGUCUCUAUGGGUCCCUAUGGGUCCCUAUGUGUCUCUAUGGGUCCCUAUGUAUCUCCAUGGGUUCCUAUGGGGCUUUAUGUGUCUCUAUGGGUCCCUAUGAUGCUUUAUGGCUCUCUAUGGGUCUCUAUGGGUCUCUAUGGGUCUCUAUGGAUCUCUAUGUGUCCCUAUGGGUCU
ensembl:lncRNA